rnacentral:rRNA from 1 species
UACGGAGGGUGCAAGCGUUAUCCGGAUUCACUGGGUUUAAAGGGUGCGUAGGCGGGCAGGUAAGUCAGUGGUGAAAUCUCCGGGCUUAACCCGGAACUGCCGUUGAUACUAUCUGUCUUGAAUAUCGUGGAGGUAAGCGGAAUAUGUCAUGUAGCGGUGAAAUGCUUAGAUAUGACAUAGAACACCCAUUGCGAAGGCAGCUUACUACACGAUCAUUGACGCUGAGGCACGAAAGCGUGGGGAGCAAACAGG